GAUGAACGCUGGCGGCGUGCCUAACACAUGCAAGUCGAGCGAGGGUUUGCUCAGUAUUGAGUAUUCUAAGUCUAGAAUGUUCAAUUCUGAGCAAAACCAAGCGGCGGACGGGUGAGUAACGCGUGGGUAACCUGCCCUAUACACAUGGAUAACAUACUGAAAAGUUUACUAAUACAUGAUAAUAUAUAUUUGCGGCAUCGCAGAUAUAUCAAAGUGUUAGCGGUAUAGGAUGGACCCGCGUCUGAUUAGCUAGUUGGUGAGAUAACUGCCCACCAAGGCGACGAUCAGUAGCCGACCUGAGAGGGUGAUCGGCCACAUUGGAACUGAGACACGGUCCAAACUCCUACGGGAGGCAGCAGUGGGGAAUAUUGCACAAUGGGCGAAAGCCUGAUGCAGCAACGCCGCGUGAACGAUGAAGGUCUUCGGAUCGUAAAGUUCUGUUGCAGGGGAAGAUAAUGACGGUACCCUGUGAGGAAGCCCCGGCUAACUACGUGCCAGCAGCCGCGGUAAUACGUAGGGGGCUAGCGUUAUCCGGAUUUACUGGGCGUAAAGGGUGCGUAGGUGGUCCUUCAAGUCGGUGGUUAAAGGCUACGGCUCAACCGUAGUAAGCCGCCGAAACUGGAGGACUUGAGUGCAGGAGAGGAAAGUGGAAUUCCCAGUGUAGCGGUGAAAUGCGUAGAUAUUGGGAGGAACACCAGUAGCGAAUGCGGCUUUCUGGACUGCAACUGACACUGAGGCACGAAAGCGUGGGUAGCAAACAGG
rnacentral:rRNA from 1 species